rnacentral:rRNA from 1 species
CCUACGGGAGGCAGCAGUGAGGAAUAUUGGUCAAUGGGCGCUAGCCUGAACCAGCCAAGUAGCGUGAAGGAUGACUGCCCUCUGGGUUGUAAACUUCUUUUAUAUGGGAAUAAAGUGCAGUAUGUAUACUGCUUUGCAUGUACCUUAUGAAUAAGGAUCGGCUAACUCCGUGCCAGCAGCCGCGGUAAUACGGAGGAUCCGAGCGUUAUCCGGAUUUAUUGGGUUUAAAGGGAGCGUAGGCGGGUUGUUAAGUCAGUUGUGAAAGUUUGCGGCUCAACCGUAAAAUUGCAGUUGAUACUGGCAUCCUUGAGUACAGUAGAGGUAGGCGGAAUUCGUGGUGUAGCGGUGAAAUGCUUAGAGAUCACGAAGAACUCCGAUUGCGAAGGCGGCCUGCUGGACUGUAACUGACGCUGAUGCGCGAAAGUGUGGGGAUCAAACAGGAUUAGAUACCCGUGUAGUC